rnacentral:lncRNA from 1 species
CCUGGGUCAGCUGCACCAGGAACAGCCUCCGCUCGGGCUUGAGGUCUCAAAGGCGUUCCUGGGCACACACAAGGUCGAGAUGCUGUGUCGGCCGCUGGCUCCUCCUGUUUACCCGCUGGAGGGACAGGGCUGUCAACACGUUCUCAUUGGAUUCUAGAUGCUUGCGGGCCUGGCGGGUGCAGAGCCAGUGGAGGACAAAGCAUAGUGGACCGUUGCUCAGUUGGUCUGUGAUUCGGAUGUGCAAACCACAUAAAUAAACCCUUUCCUCCCUGCGCUGCUGUUGGCCAGUAUUUUCUUACACUAGAGAGAAAACUGGGGCGUUUCUUUUUCCUGCACAAGGUGUUUUUUGCUUCCCUAUAACUCCCAAAGUCUGCAGUGUGAUACACCAUGGACAGGAAAGUGCUGUGCGGCACCAACCCAAAUGGUAUGUGGGCUUCAGGAACACUGCCCCCCCACAAUGGUAAGAAAUUACAGGGAAGCAAGCCUCUGCCAUCUCCGAGGGUGGGGCUUUGGUCAUCAGCCUACAUCAGUAUACUUCAUGCCAGCCCCUCAGCUCAAGUCUCCAGUGUGUCCCAAAGCUGACCCUUCUGAACAGCCAGCCGAGGAGCUAUGAAGAAGAACGU